rnacentral:misc_RNA from 1 species
GAUGCAAACAGUUAAACAGUUCUUUACAAAGUAAAUACAGCAAAAGCAUAAGAGAAACCACAAGAGCUGAAAAGAUGUAAGCAGUAGCGAUCGUUUGAAAUUAAUCGCUGUGACUGACCGCGUUAGCAGGAAACAUUUCACUGUACAACUACAACUAAUGACUUUGUUUCUGUUUCUUCGACUUCGCUGUUUGCAAAACAGAAAUUUGGGUGCUUUGCUAAUUUCUAUCAAGCAUUACAAACAUCAAAGGGAUAAACAUUGGAUUAAAUUUAUUUUUAGAUUAAUUAAUCUCAUAAGAAAUAUGAUGAAAAGAUAUCAUUUAACCAUUUACAGUGAUGGAUUUAAAUGCGUUGGCAUUUUUUGCCAACUCAAAAACCCGUUCUUAAUAAGUACUAAUUUACAUAAUUUUGAAACCAAAAUCAAUAUUUCUUUGAAUUAUAAUUACGAUUAAAUAGUGGUGAAGUUUUUGAAACAAAUUAUUAAAAUUAGUUCAUUUAAAUGCUUAAUCUUCAAAGGGUCACAAAACUUUAAGAGGUCAAAUGUUAAAAAUGCUUAAACAUUUUUUUGCAUUUUCUUUUAUAAAAGCUUUUUAAAAGCUAUAGCGGCAGAGUAGUUUUAAAAUGUCUAAGAUUUUUACUUUUAUAAUUUUCUCAUUCAAAUACAUACUUAUUUAUAUGCACAUGAUUUGUAUUUUUAUUUUUUCAAUUAAAUUCAUCAACAUCAAUAAACAUUUUUUAGUAUUAAUAAAUAUACAUAUGUUUAUUUAUAUUUGUCUACGUAUGCUUUUCAUAUAACAUUUCGAAUCAACAGUUUUAUUUGAUUUACACUUUUUUUAAAGCUUUUUUUGUGUCUGAAAUGUAUUCACAUUUCAGUGAAGCUUUUGCAGCGAUACGUGUAUGUUUGUUGUCCUUAAUCGCAAUUAAAGUAAAAAAGGUAUUAAACAUGCAACAACUGAAAUGUAAAUGUACAUUAUAUUUUAUUAGGGCGGCCAAUAUGACGUUUAAAUUUUGAAAAAAUAAAUAAAACCAAAACAAAACAGCCAAAAUCUACUGUAGUAAAUCAAGCGGUAUAAUUUAUGUUAUGUUAAUAAUAAUCCAAAAUACUUAUUUUGGCAAAAAAAACUUUAAAUAUUCUUUGAAAUAUGUUUGUUGCCAAUGAUUCGAUACCGCCUUAAUGUAAAUAAAUAUAUACUACUAUAUGUUUUUGACUGAUUUAAGAGCAAUAUAUUUUUUUGUUGAUAUCUAACUUUUUAAAAGCACAUUUGAAGUUAAUAUUUUAUAAGAAUGCGUGUACUUUAGUUCCGAAAACAAUUUUAUCAAAUGGUGUUAAACAAAAACAAUUAAAUAUAAAUAUAAGAAUUAACAAAAUUGUUAAAAUUAAAAUAAUAAAAAAUAUAAUAAACAAAAUAAAUGUUUAAAUAAAAAAACGUUUAUAUUAUUAUAAAUAUACCCAAAUGUGUUUGCAUUAAAACGUGUAUAUGUGCUGUGUGUGCGAUUAAUAAGAAUAAGAGAUUUUUAUUUUGCCUAAAAAUAGGCAAUUCAAUUUUUGUUUGUUAACUGUUUUGUAAAAUCAAUAAGAUACAUACUGACACACAGUGUAUUUGGUAACACACAAAUGAUUAGUUUUGGCUCACAACCGAAAAAUAAAAAAGCAAAAUAUGACAUAUGUAUAAAAAAAUAUUAAACAUAAUUGAAUAGUUAUUUUUUGUAAAAAAUACAUACAAAAAUACAUUUGUAAAUGUAAUAUAUAGUUGUAUUGUUUAAUUUAGUUGUAUGUAUGUCUACGUCAAUGAUAUAAAGAGAGAUUGAGUAAAAAAUGUAGUUACUUUCAGUCUAAAAUUUUACGGCAUACCAGAAUUUUUACAUGCAAUAUUCCCAAAAUAACUAGUUUUAAAUUCAAUUACGAUAAGAUUCAUAAUAAAAUUAAGUCUACUUAGUCUUUAAAGUAAAAAUAAUUAAAUAUUCCGUAACAAAUUUGAAACAAUAUUUUGUUCCUUAGUGCAUAUGUGUCGUUACUAUGUGUUAUUUGUGUGUGAGUGGUAUUGACUGCUAAGUUCUAAAACAAUGUUAAGGGUUAUUCGAUUAUUAACUGCAACUGCACACAUAAGUUCAAAUUGCACUGCUGUAGAAAAUUGUUGUAAAAUUUAGUAUAUUAAAACGAUUUUAUUUUUUAUUUUUUUUAUUCAGAAUUGGUUGACCAUUUUCUUACCAUCUACUAAAAAAAGCAAUGCUUUGCUGCAUGAAAAUUUGCCGCCAAAAAGUUUAGUUUUAAAAUAUAAAUUAAAGUUUAAAGUUUUAUCAAUAAGUAUUUAGUAUAUUCUGUAGUUUCCCAGUUUAUCAAAAGAUCAGUCCCAUACAUAAAAUUGAAAAAUUUGAUAAACCGAACAACAACUUUAUUUUGAUUGUUGUGAAAUUGUAAUAUUUGUUGUUGAAGAAUCUAGUUCCUUUUUCUGAAAAUUAAUUUUAUUUGCAAUUUUCACUGAUACAUCUUUUGAAUUGAAACUGUGAAUGAAUAAUGAAGUGUCCUUUCCAUGUUAGUUGUAAUUUUUAUCUAUGCAAAAAAUUUAUUAAGCAGUAAAGUUUAUUGGAGAGAAUAUUUUAUAAACAUUUGUCUAUACAAAAAUUUAAACAUUUUUCUAAAAAUUUAUACAAACAGUUUGUUGGCAGCUCUGCUAACAAAAUAAAUAGGGAGAAAGAGAAAUUCACACCAAAAAGCUUUUUAACUGUUGAAGUUUUCUGCGCAUGCAUGGAGAGUUGCCAGACGGUGAAUAUAUACCAAAAAGUAACAGUAAAUAUUUUAACAUUUGUUCAUUUCAAGAACCCCAAAAUGGAAGUACAGGUCGGGGAUUCGAACGAAUAUACAAAACUAAAACUUGAAUCUGACCCUGGGGAUAAACAAAGAAAUAUUUUGUUGUAAAAAAUUCUAUGGGGCUAAAACAAUUAAAACAUAGAAGAAUUUUUGUAAUAUUUAUUUUUAUAUAACCAAAGAUUACAUGCAGAAUCGCCCAGACCAAACCGUUAAAGUGAUGUUCUUAAUUCCAAAUAACCCAAACUUUUUAUAUUAUUUAAUUAUAUUAAUUAAUUAAUGCCAAAAAUUUCACAAAAUUAUGAGAUAAAAUUUUUGGACUUAUAGAAUUUAGUUGUUUAAGUAAAUUGAGAUAUGACUGGAACGGAAACAUAAUUUAGCAUAUUUCAAGAAUUUUUUUCUCAUGAUAAAAAAUUUAAUUAUAAGGAAAUGGUAUUAAUUUUUCCAUCCCUGCUAAAGAUUUAUCAGGAGACUUUUUGUUACAUGACAUUUAUACUCUCAAUUGUUUCCCCAUAAUCUAUAUGUAUGUCCACUUUCACAGUUGUAUAAAUUAUAGUACAUUUUGUAAAAUUUUAUGGUACUAAUAACGAAGAGUUGUCGAAUAAAAAUAAUUAAAAAAUCUUAACAAAUUUUAGGGCAGUUUCAUUAGCUUAUAAUUCAAAACUUUUAAUUUGCUUACAAUACAAUGGGUAUUAGCAAAUGAUACAAGUUUAUUCAUUGUUUGUAACCAAAAACUGUGAUGGCCAUUUAAGAUGUGCAUAAUUAUAUACAUAGAUUCAUUAUUUUUAUUGUUGCUGUUUUCCAAAGGUGUCUUAAAUUGUUUGUUAUUUUCCGUUUCCUUCUCAAUAAUUUUUGACAGAUAGGAAAAAAUAUGUUAAACUUUUAUAAAAAAUACACUGUGAGAGUAUGAGAUAAAUAGUUUGUAUGUGUGUUGAUAAGGGAGAAAGAGCGAGAGAUACAGAAAGAGUAUAAAAUACGGCAGAAAAGUGAAUACUCACUUAGCACACAAUAAACACAUUUACUGGACAUAUUAAAAUGAUGAUAGAUGGAUAAAUUAUUUUUAUUUAAUAUGUUUCAUUUUUCUGUCUUAAUUACACCUGCACUUGUUGUUUUACUUUUUUCAAUAUGGGAAUGUCUGUGUAUAAGUUUGUGUUUGAGUAAGUGUGCGAAUAUAUAUUUUUUUGAUGAUUGCGAAUGAGUGUAUAUGAGUGUACUAAGCCUGCAAUACACAAAAAAAAACGAUUGUUAUUUAUAGAAAACUCAUUGGAAAGUGAUAACAAUUAAAUAAAUUAUUUGCUCAAACAAAUAUAAAAAAUAAAACAUUCAAAUAAUUUAUAAAACAUACAAACAUUUUAUGUAAAACAGUAAAGAUGCAGUGAAAACAAAUAAAGUGUCAACAUUUUAAUCGCCUUUAAGGCGUGGCAUUAUGCAAAUAAAUAAAUUAAAUUAAAACAAACAUUACUUGACAGGACAAUCAUAAAAAUUAAAAAAUUAAAGUAAUUAUAUUAAAAAAGCGGUAAAGCUAGAAACAAAAAUAAAUUGUGUGAGCGUUUAUCACUGAAGCAACCAAAACCUGUAGCUGAAUUACACAGGGUAGUAAAUAUAAAAGGAAAAUGUUUUCAGUUGCAUAUAAUUUAUGUAUGUGGUAGUGUGUUAUGGAAGAAAAUAUGCAACGUUUUUUAAAAGGUCUCUAAAAAUUGAAGGUUACUAGUAGUACAGAUGACUACUGUUAAUGUAGAACAUGAUGAUGUUAAUAAAUCUGAAGCAAUAGAUUUGGAUUUAAAAAAUAUUGCUGCAAAACAACAGGUUGAGCGGCUGAUGCCUCCUCCCUCUUUCAGUUCCAUAGAGUUCUUAACGUCCUUGCCACCAACAUCUACAACAGCAGAAACAACAAGCUUAUCUAACGGCUCUGCAUCUUUAACUAGCCAUUGUCAUUCGAAUUUAUAUAAUAUUCUUCAGAAUAACUCAAAAUCCAGCCCUCUGUAUUCUUUUUUGACGUCACAGGUGGGUUGCAACGAUUUUUCUGGUUAUUUUUCGGGACUUUCAAAAAUACAUAAUACAACAACAUCCUCCGUAACGACAUCGUGGCCCUUGUCAUCUUCAAACUUGAAGUCUACAUUUUCCUCACAAACUAACCAAAAUAUUUUUGGCACAUCAAAUGGCGACUCUUUGUCUGCCAUGGCAGUUGCUAUAACUGAAGAUUCGCCUCUAGAUGUUGGUAUUGAUAGUUAUCGAAAAGAUUCACCCCCGGAAAUUAAUUUGGAAACCGAAGAAAACAUAGAGCAUAUGCUGGAAGAUGUUGUAGAAAAAGAAAGGGAAAAAUCCAACGAAGAAAUCAAUGAAACGAAUAUUGUACCAGUAAUAACGGAUAACUCAACAUGCAUUCCAAACACAUCCGCAUCGCAAGAUGGUCUUAAAAGUACCGUUAAUCGCACGAAAAGUCGUAGUUUAUUGCAUCGUUUGGCCUCAUUUGCGGCAGCUGCAAGUAAUAGCACAAAUUUCACAGUCAACACCCCCUCUCCCUGUGCCCCAAGUCGCCAGUUGGAGAAACUUGCUAAAAGAUCAUUUCGUCUCAGUUCCUCAGGUUUAAAACAAACUUCACUUUUAAUGGAGAUUCUUAAACUUAACACUAUAACAGAUGAGCAACAGCAGCAGCAAAAGCAGUUGACAGAUAAAGAGACAAGCAGAUCUAGCCUAUCGGCAGCCUAUCAUAUGUUGGCUUCUCAGCUGCUCUAUUCUCAGUUAGUUCAGCAAUCAUCUUCAACUUCACCUCUUCUUAUAUUAGAUUACAGUUCAAAAGCCAACAACAACAAUGAUGAAAAUUAUGAACACAUGGACGAAAUUGUACAGACUAAUGAUCAUCAGCAUGAAAAACAUGAGGAGACUGCAGUCGCAGUUGAAAACGACAACAACGACUUGGACUUAGAUGUCAAUAACGUAAAAACUGAGAAAAUUCCUAUAAACGAAACAUAUCUCAAGGUUCAACCGGCAUCACCUGCGUUAUCUUUUCUUGCCAACUCAUCUGUUUUUGAUGAUGUCGGCAGUAGCAAGAUCUUAGAUUUAUGGCAUGAACAGUUGAAGAUUUUAACUCAAGCCCACAUAUGUCUAGAACAAUUUUUGGAAAUAAAUCAAGAAAUGCAGGUUGUUUUUGAGACCCCCGCACUUCAAAAACCAAAUGGCAGCCAAGUCUGUAAUAAUUUGAAAGAUCAAAAGGGAUUUAUAGAGGCCAUUAUGGCAAAAUUGCACUAUGUUUUUAGGCAUUGUGAAGACUCACGGCAGUUAUAUUUAAGAACUAGUCAAGUAUCGGAAGAAGAUUCUAUAUCGGUAUCGCCUGCAAAUCAUCUCAAGUAUUUAUUGGAAGAUAUAUCUACACCAGACAUGAAACCCAAGGCUCAAGCAAAAACAGUUGACAGAAUUGAAUCGCAUGCUUCGUCUAUAAAGCGGGAACCAAAUGAUAUGAACGGUAAAGUGGAUACUGAAUCCAAAAACAAUAUUUUUAAAACUGUUUGGCAACCAUUCGCCAAUGAAACUCAACAAGAAGAAAUACAAAAAGAGAGUGAAACCAAACAUAGCAAAGAAGAGCUUGGCACUGGACAAUCAGAAAUCAAAUCACCCAUUUGCUUUUGGCACCCUAAAAACCUUGGCAUGAAUCGGAAUGAAAAGGCAGUAACAGCAGUUGAAAUAAUAUUAGAGUGUGCAGCACUUAACAAAACUGCGGGAUCAGAAGCAAACGCUACGUUAAAUUCACAAAAUAAAUCAAUGGAUACGGUCAACUCUACUAAUCCAUCACCAGUGCCGCAAACAAUUGCAACAUCAACACCAACCUCAACUUUGAAUUCUUGUAAUUCACCAUUUCUACAAACAACAUCUGCAUCAUCAUCUUCGUCAAAUAACUCGAUAAGUUCCAACCACCCGGAUGAAGCGCCAGCUUUAAAUAUGCUCAUGACAGAUUGUGGAACAUCUUCGUUUCUAACGGCUCUCAGUAAUCGAGCUCUUAUAAAUCUAGCAUCAAGUUCUUCGACUAUUGCAGCUAAUAUACCACCGAUUACCACCACCAGCCCCAGCUGUAAUCGACGUAAAACAAAGAAGCUAGAGACCAACACCAAUAAUAAUAGUACACUACCCACCUCUGUUGCCGGAUUAAAUACAACCUCGCCCUCCUAUGCUACAAGUCCGCCCAUUACAAAUGCCCAAAUAUAUGGUACACAUUCUACAUCAACAGCCGCUGCUGUAGCUGCUCUACAGGAAAAAGCUUUAAGUGAUAUGUUUAAAGUUCGCUUCAGUGCUUUAACUGCUGCAGCUGUAAUUAAUGCUGCUACAGCAUCAGCUAAUGCAGCAGCGACAGUUGCCACCACCUCCACAACUAAUAAUACCAAUAACUUGACGAACUCAGCGAUGAAUUCUGAAGGACCAUAUGAUCUCAGCAUUGGCAACAAAUUUAAGAAGAUGAAUCUGGAUAACAAAAAUUCAUCAAAUUUACAGGGAAACGAUAACUGUAAGGAUAACUCAUCUGAAAAAAAGAAACCACAUAUCAAAAAGCCUUUGAAUGCCUUUAUGUUAUACAUGAAGGAAAUGCGUGCCAAAGUAGUAGCAGAGUGCACAUUAAAGGAAUCAGCUGCCAUUAAUCAAAUUUUGGGUAGACGGUGGCAUGAACUGUCCCGCGAAGAACAAAGUAAAUAUUAUGAAAAAGCUCGGCAAGAACGUCAAUUACACAUGGAAUUGUAUCCGGGGUGGAGUGCACGGGACAACUAUGGUUAUGUUUCGAAAAAGAAAAAGCGUAAAAAAGACAGAUCGCCCGCGGAUUCGGGAGUGGCAUGCAUUGGGUCGGGAAGAACAAGCCAAGUAUUAUGAAUUGGCACGUCGAGAACGUCAAUUGCAUAUGCAAAUGUAUCCCGAUUGGAGCUCACGGACUAAUGCGUCACGAGGGAAGAAACGCAAGCGAAAACAAGACAACAAUGCAGACGGAGGCAAUAAUAUGAAGAAAUGUCGAGCUCGGUUCGGUUUGGAUCAACAAAAUCAGUGGUGUAAGCCUUGCAG